UACAGAGGGGGCCAGCGUUAUUCGGAAUUAUUGGGUGUAAAGGGCGCGUAGGCGGCUUUGCGUGUCUUUCGUGAAAUCCCUCGGCUCAACUGAGGACGUGCGGAAGAAACUGCAGGGCUGGAGUCCGGGAGAGGAGGGUGGAAUUCCCAGUGUAGCGGUGAAAUGCGUAGAUAUUGGGAGGAACACCGGUGGCGAAGGCGGCCCUCUGGACCGGUACUGACGCUGAUGCGCGAAAGCGUGGGGAGCAAACGGG
rnacentral:rRNA from 1 species